GGACAGGUGAUCGCGGCUGCAAGUGUCGAAAGACCGCAGGUGAGGAAAGUCCGGGCUUCACAGGGCAGGAUGCCGGUUAACGGCCGGUGGAGGAAACUCUAAGGAAAGUGCAACAGAAAUAUACCGCUAUAUUUAUAUAGUAAGGGUGGAAUGGCAGUGUAAGAGACUACCGCCUCGCUGGUAACAGAGAGGGCACAUGUAAACCCCAUUCGAAGCAAGACCGAAACAAAGCGAUGACGUGGCCCGCCAGCUUUAGGUAGGUCGCUUGAGGCGAUUGGCGACAGUCGUCCUAGAUAGAUGAUCACCCAACGACAUAACCCGGCUUAUCGUUCUGC
rnacentral:RNase_P_RNA from 1 species